rnacentral:tRNA from 1 species
GGGGAUCUAGCUCAAAUGGUAGAGCACUCGCUUAGCAUGUGAGAGGUACUGGGAUCAAUGCCCAGGUUCUCCA